AUUGAACGCUGGCGGCAGGCCUAACACAUGCAAGUCGAGCGGAUGACGGGAGCUUGCUCCUUGAUUCAGCGGCGGACGGGUGAGUAAUGCCUAGGAAUCUGCCUGGUAGUGGGGGGCAACGUUUCGAAAGGAACGCUAAUACCGCAUACGUCCUACGGGAGAAAGCAGGGGACCUUCGGGCCUUGCGCUAUCAGAUGAGCCUAGGUCGGAUUAGCUAGUAGGUGAGGUAAUGGCUCACCUAGGCGACGAUCCGUAACUGGUCUGAGAGGAUGAUCAGUCACACUGGAACUGAGACACGGUCCAGACUCCUACGGGAGGCAGCAGUGGGGAAUAUUGGACAAUGGGCGAAAGCCUGAUCCAGCCAUGCCGCGUGUGUGAAGAAGGUCUUCGGAUUGUAAAGCACUUUAAGUUGGGAGGAAGGGCAGUAAGUUAAUACCUUGCUGUUUUGACGUUACCGACAGAAUAAGCACCGGCUAACUCUGUGCCAGCAGCCGCCGUAAGAC
rnacentral:rRNA from 1 species